UCUGCCCCUAAAUGUGAUGUAGGUGUGGCUGCUAUGUCACAUAUGUGUCAGUAGGUGGCAGAGAAGAGAGACACUAUGUCACAUGUGUGGCAGUGUUCUGAUCUAUGAUCAUCUGAACAAUUAGUAGCCUAACAUU